rnacentral:lncRNA from 1 species
AUUUUACAGAGGAGAUUCUGGUUCAGAAAAGUAAUGCUUAUCACAGUUUUUUUUUUUUUUUUUUAAAUUGGAAUUGGACAGACUGAAGCUGAGAAACCCAGAUUUCCCUAGCGUGGGCCCUGUAAUGAAGACUCACCCGAGGGUCUACCGCUACAUGAUAUUCAAUAUGAUGAAAGCGCAAGUGGCUUCAUGCUGGAGCUUGGCAUGCGGGAAGCAGUGAGCUGUAACUAUACCUGUUAAAGUACAGGUCGAGCAUUCUUAAACUGGAAAUCUGAAAUCUUAGAUGUUCCAAAAUCCAAAGCUUUUGAGAACCAAUGUGAUGCCGCAGAUGGAAAAUUGUACAUCUACCUUCAUGUUAUGUGUCACAGUGAAAGCACGGGCACUUUCAAAGUGCUGUACAAAAGUACUUUCAGAAGCAUAUGGAACGUAAAAUGAAUAUCUCAUUGCUUCCUUUAUUUGAGCACCACAAGGAGAAAGGCGUCUCCAGCCACAACUGUGUCCACCUGAGUCCUGGCUUUCUUCCUUUCUGUUUUGUACUCCGUGGGAUAAACAAUACCAGCAAGGUGGAUUUCUGUACUCUUUUAACAGGCACAGUUGCAUUCCAGGCUAUCACUGAGUUUCAAUUCAAGGCAAGUGGAAGGU